GGCUUGCUUGUCCCCAAGUGCCGGCUUGUCAGCCUUAACACUCAGCUGCACACUGUAAAACUUCCCACACUUCUGGCAGGGAAGACAAGACAGACGUUCAUGCACAACAUUCACAUCUGGAUCUAAGGAUUUACAGAUAGUUUAUGGUAUAUGAUGGCCUGUUACACAGCAUUGGACCUCAAGCUCUGGGAGAGCUGCAGGAGCUCAAUCCAACUGCCCAACGAUUGCUUUCCAAGACAUUUAGACAUUUAAUAUGACAUUGAAAUGAGAAGAAACCUGCAUUUAUAUGAAGUUCUCUGAAGUCCUCACUUGACUACUGUUUCAAGAACAUUACAGGAGAUAUUCAAGAAAGAUUAAAAGACUUCUAUGGAUAGAAACUAAUUUCAUUGGAUAGUUUUUCACUGUCUGUUAUUUUCUACUCAGACUGUAUGCAAAUAAAGAUAAAAUGGUGAAUUCUGAAGUUCAGAAACCAGCAGGAUGAACAGUGCCAGCUCUCUCAGCCUUGAUGGAUUCUCCAGUUCUUUCAUCAUGUUUGUGGCCCUUCACUCGGUCCAACAUGGUCAUGCCUUUCUCACACUGGAGAGCUGAGAACUGGAUCCAGGACUCCAGGUGUGUCCCACCAAGUGCUGAACAGAGAAAACAAUUAUUUCCCUUCAUCUGCAGGCAAGACUCCCCCUCAUGAAGCUGAAGAGUCUGCUGGCCUUUCUUAAUACAAGGGUACCUUUAUGGUUGUUUCUCACCUCAUUGUUCACCAGCACUCCUUGUCCUCUGCUGCAAAUCCGCUCUCCAGCCAGAUGCUCCCUUGGACCUUACUUGGAUUAUGAUGAGGCACAUGUUCCCAUCUACGGGUUCCUAUCUGAAUUCUACUUAAAAAUUCACUGCUGAACUUCAAUAAAAUAAUAACUGGUAGAAAAAUUCCUGAUAGAGAUUAUUGAAUUUUACUUUUUAUAUGUUUCACAUUUGAUAAGAGUUUUUAAUUUCAU
ensembl:lncRNA